rnacentral:rRNA from 1 species
GAUGAACGCUGGCGGCGUGCCAAAUACAUGCAAGUCGAGCGAACAGAUGAGGAGCUUGCUCCUCUGACGUUAGCGGCGGACGGGGGAGUAACACGUGGAUAACCUACCUAUAAGACUGGGAUAACUUCGGGAAACCGGAGCUAAUACCGGAUAAUAUAUUGAACCGCAUGGUUCAAUAGUGAAAGACGGUUUUGCUGUCACUUAUAGAUGGAUCCGCGCCGCAUUAGCUAGUUGGUAAGGUAACGGCUUACCAAGGCAGCGAUGCGUAGCCGACCUGAGAGGGUGAUCGGCCACACUGGAACUGAGACACGGUCCAGACUCCUACGGGAGGCAGCAGUAGGGAAUCUUCCGCAAAGGGCGAAAGCCUGACGGAGCAACGCCGCGUGAGUGAUGAAGGUCUUCGGAUCGUAAAACUCUGUUAUUAGGGAAGAACAAAUGUGUAAGUAACUAUGCACGUCUUGACGGUACCUAAUCAGAAAGCCACGGCUAACUACGUG